UGUGCACAUAUUCAUGUAAGAUUGCAUAUGCAUCUUAGAGAAUAAGGAACUUUGCUUGAGAUUAUGCAAUAAUGUUGUUUAUAUGAUGUAUUCCUCUAAGUUUAGUUGGUAAAGAAGAGGGUUAAACCCUAGUUGUGAUGAAAGAGAGUUUGAGAAAAAUCUGUCAAGAGAAUUGCUGAAUUUUUUACCUUAAGCCACGAAUUUUUAGACAUAGUAAAUCAUCUUCAAAAAUUACGAAAUUUUUGAGGGAUGUUACUCAAUGAGUCUACAAUGUUCUGUAAACAUUUGGGAUUAAUAUUCCUUGAAACGAAGUCUAGAAAAAUCUCGCACUAGACUGCAUUCUGUUUUACUGCUACUGCUGAACCUCUGUUUUGGCCUUCGUUUUUUGAUGAGUUUGACCUAGUUUCUCAUCGCGUUAUUUUCUGAAAUUUUUAUGUGAGGUACCCAUAUGUGUCUAUUGUAUUGUGUCCAAAAAUUAGAAUAAAACUCAAAGAGAAUAAUUUUAAACAAUUCGUUUACUAAGCUGCGUUCUGUUUUGGACUGUGCUGAAUUCUGCAGUUUUGUUCCUUAUGCUUCUAAUUUGUAAGGGAAGUUCUUGGCCACGUAAAUUCUUAAUAAAAUUUGAUACCAUGUGCAUAUGAGUCCCCUUUAUGUGUUAAAAUUUUCGAGACCUAGUUCAUUGUGGUUUAUCCUCAAGAAUUGUUGGAGCAGGUCAUGGUUAACUUGUCAUUUUUUUAGGGAAUCAUGCAUGUGCAUCAUUUUAUGAGUUCUUUGUGUAAAUGAUGUAUGUUCAUAUACAAUAUGUAGGAUUUGGUGAACAAGAGAAGGAUAUAAGGGAUACAAGUUGAUGUUUACUUGAAGUGCAAAGGAAUGUGAUGAAGUAUGAUAGCUUAUAGGUGCAAUGUUUUGUGCAAGUUUGGACUUCAUGGAAUCGUUUUGCAUAAAGAAUGGAAGUAGAAAGAAGACUUGUAUUUUUGGACAUGUUUUGUACUUGUUUCCCUUAUGAUCAAGGAUGUAUAUAUUUUUUUUUGCAAAGUGAUGUACGUAAGCUAUGUAUUUUAGGGAAAGGUUAUGGAUGUUCAUCCUAAUGUAAUUAUGAUAUCAUGAAAAUUAUCAAUGUAUGGAUGCUCUAAACCAAAUGGGUUGUGCUAAUUUUGCUUAAACUUGUUUAUGGUUACUUUUAUUAAUAGACCCCAUAAAUUUAAGUGAA